UGAAGUUGACGAGAUAAACGCGCCCUUCUUCGGACGUGCACGUGCGGAGCGCGCGAAAUGGACAGUAAACACUGCAUUACAACUGGCAUACUUGCAGUGAGUGAUAGAUGCUCCUAAGGUGAGGCCGAGGAUUCUAGCGGGAGGAACCUGGAAGCAUUGGUAGAUGUGAAGACGCUGAUAAAUGGAGAGGUUGUUGCUCGACAGUGUGUUCCAGAUGACAUUGAAGACAUCAAGAGGACACUGUUACAAUGGAGCGAUGUUGAGAAGGUCAACCUCAUCCUAACAACUGGCGGCACAGGUUUCUCAGCAAGAGACGUUACACCCGAGGCUACAAGAGCAGUCAUAACGAAAAAGGCGCCAGGCAUCACGAUUGCUAUUAUCCAGAAAU